GCCAUUUUGUCUAAAUAUGUGUGAAUAGCUUAUAUACUGAUUUCAGCUAAAUGAGUAAAUAGACAGUUUACUAACUAGAAAAUAUAUCAAUAUCUCAUUUCCACAACAGUCCCCCCUUAAAAUAUCUAUUUACCAUAACAACUGCCAUUGUCUCUGGCAUGUCCCUAGCUGCCUGCAGCUCAUCUGUCUUAACAAGCAUCGAACUCUUCACUCCGUGGGUAACCCGCAGUGGCUAGUCCACCACAUCUCCACACUUGAGACUUGCCGUAGAGACAGACGCUUUCCCUACGCUAUCCCUACAGGAAUGCAG